rnacentral:rRNA from 1 species
CACGUAGGGGGCAAGCGUUGUCCGGAUUUAUUGGGCGUAAAGAGCUCGUAGGUGGUUCGGUAAGUCGGGUGUUAAACCCCCAGGCUCAACCUGGGGACGCCACUCGAUACUGCUGUGACUAGAGUCCGGUAGGGGAGCGUGGAAUUCCUGGUGUAGCGGUGAAAUGCGUAGAUAUCAAGUGGAACACCAGUGGCGAAGGCGAAUCCCUGGAAAAUACCUGACACUGAGGCACGAAAGCUAGGGGAGCAAACAGG